rnacentral:rRNA from 1 species
UACGGGAGGCAGCAGUGGGGAAUAUUGCACAAUGGGCGCAAGCCUGAUGCAGCCAUGCCGCGUGUAUGAAGAAGGCCUUCGGGUUGUAAAGUACUUUCAGUCGUGAGGAAGGUGUUAAGGUUAAUAACCUUAGCAAUUGACGUUAGCGACAGAAGAAGCACCGGCUAACUCCGUGCCAGCAGCCGCGGUAAUACGGAGGGUGCGAGCGUUAAUCGGAAUUACUGGGCGUAAAGGGCACGCAGGCGGUUAAUAAGUUGGAUGUGAAAUCCCCGGGCUUAACCUGGGAAUGGCAUUCAAGACUGGUUAGCUAGAGUCUUGUAGAGGGGGUAGAAUUCCAUGUGUAGCGGUGAAAUGCGUAGAGAUGUGGAGGAAUACCGGUGGCGAAGGCGGCCCCUGGGACAAAGACUGACGCUCAUGUGCGAAAGCGUGGGGAGCAAACGAGGAUUAGAUACC